rnacentral:rRNA from 1 species
AUAGCGUAUAUUAAAGUUGUUGCAGUUAAAAAGCUCGUAGUUGAACCUUGGGCCUGGCUGGCCGGUCCGCCUCACCGCGUGCACUGGUCCGGCCGGGCCUUUCCUUCUGGGGAGCCGCAUGCCCUUCACUGGGUGUGUCGGGGAACCAGGACUUUUACCUUGAGAAAAUUAGAGUGUUCAAAGCAGGCCUAUGCCCGGAUACAUUAGCAUGGAAUAAUAGAAUAGGACGUGCGGUUCUAUUUUGUUGGUUUCUAGGAUCGACGUAAUGAUUAAUAGGGAUAGUUGGGGGCAUUAGUAUUCAAUUGUCAGAGGUGAAAUUCUUGGAUUUAUUGAAGACUAACUACUG